rnacentral:piRNA from 1 species
AUGCUCUUAACUGCUGAGCCAUCUUUCC